rnacentral:rRNA from 1 species
CAGUAGCCGCGGGAAUACGAAGGGGGCUAGCGUUGCUCGGAAUCACUGGGCGUAAAGGGCGCGUAGGCGGCCGAUUAAGUCGGGGGUGAAAGCCUGUGGCUCAACCACAGAAUUGCCUUCGAUACUGGUUGGCUUGAGACCGGAAGAGGACAGCGGAACUGCGAGUGUAGAGGUGAAAUUCGUAGAUAUUCGCAAGAACACCAGUGGCGAAGGCGGCUGUCUGGUCCGGUUCUGACGCUGAGGCGCGAAAGCGUGGGGAGCAAACAGGAUUAGAUACCCCAGUAGUCCCUGUCUCUUAUAC